rnacentral:rRNA from 1 species
GAUGAACGCUGGCGGCGUGCUUAACACAUGCAAGUCGAACGGUGAACCCGGAGCUUGCUCUGUGGGAUCAGUGGCGAACGGGUGAGUAACACGUGAGCAACCUGCCCCUGACUCUGGGAUAAGCGCUGGAAACGGCGUCUAAUACUGGAUAUGUGACGUGACCGCAUGGUCUGCGUUUGGAAAGAUUUUUCGGUUGGGGAUGGGCUCGCGGCCUAUCAGCUUGUUGGUGAGGUAGUGGCUCACCAAGGCGUCGACGGGUAGCCGGCCUGAGAGGGUGACCGGCCACACUGGGAUUGAGACACGGCCCAGACUCCUACGGGAGGCAGCAGUGGGGAAUAUUGCACAAUGGGCGGAAGCCUGAUGCAGCAACGCCGCGUGAGGGAUGACGGCCUUCGGGUUGUAAACCUUUUUUGGCAGUGAAGAAGCGAAAGUGACGGUACCUGCAGAAAAAGCGCCGGCUAACUACGUG